rnacentral:rRNA from 1 species
CCUACGGGCGGCUGCAGUGGGGAAUAUUGGACAAUGGGGGGAACCCUGAUCCAGCCAUGCCGCGUGUGUGAAGAAGGCCCUCGGGUUGUAAAGCACUUUCAGUGAGGAAGAACGCCUGGUGGUUAAUACCCAUCAGGAAAGACAUCACUCACAGAAGAAGCACCGGCUAACUCCGUGCCAGCAGCCGCGGUAAUACGGAGGGUGCGAGCGUUAAUCGGAAUUACUGGGCGUAAAGCGCGCGUAGGUGGCUUGAUAAGCCGGUUGUGAAAGCCCCGGGCUCAACCUGGGAACGGCAUCCGGAACUGUCAAGCUAGAGUGCAGGAGAGGAAGGUAGAAUUCCCGGUGUAGCGGUGAAAUGCGUAGAGAUCGGGAGGAAUACCAGUGGCGAAGGCGGCCUUCUGGACUGACACUGACACUGAGGUGCGAAAGCGUGGGUAGCAAACAGGAUUAGAUACCCUUGUAUC